rnacentral:lncRNA from 1 species
CAUAUCAAUGAUAGAUCUCCUCUCAAGAGUGGAACAGAUUCAACUACAAAUCGCCUAAGUUUUCAUCUCAAGCUCUAAUCCCCAGCAGUGAUUUCAUAUAUGGAGUAUUUCAUAGAGCAAAUCGGUUCUUUAAUCUUUCAAGAGUAUUACAACUCAUGGACUGCAUCUCAGAUCUACAGAAAGACCCACAUCGUGUUUCUGGGUAUAUCUUCCCCAUUCACCCCUCUUUUGUUCAAUUAAUCAUUGCAUGUGUUGCUUGUUCUUGCUGAGAGGUACUUAGCUUGUUGUAGAUUUCAGUUCUUGUUCGAAUUCCUGCGUAUUAUUACAUUUCUGUAUUAUUAUAGAAUUGAGGUGUUUCGAAAAAAUCAUUCUUGAAGAAAGUAGCUUGUUAACUGAUGUCUACAUUUCUCUUAUAUAAGAAGCAAUAGUUGAAUGUUGCUAUAGAACAUGGUAAGGAAUCAAAUUUGUAGAAUGAAUUUCCAGAACUUUUGUUCUUGAUCUACAUGUUCGAAUUACAAAGUUGAAUGUGCAGUUCCUAGAACUUUUGCUCUUGAUCUACAUAUUCAGAUUGUGUGGCAAAAUUAUUGUUUACUUUGCUUUCACAAGUAUGUUUCUUCUUUUCCCACUGGAUCAUAUCUUACUAAGGGACUAAGAAUUGGUAGGAAUAUGUGAAAUUCUCUAUAAUUUUCUUAAGCUCACUGAAUUCUAUGUCUGCAUUUGAGGUACUCAUCUGAUGAAUUCAAGAGUCUAUUUUCUUGUUAUUUGCAGAAUAUGUUUAUUUAAAAACUGAGAACAUGAACUGCAGAGUACAUGUUAAUUUUUUUGAGUGACAUUUCAGUUUAUGUUUUGCUUGUAUUACUCGUUGGUACUUCUUGUAUAAGGAAAAUAACACUUCUGAGUUUGAAAAUGACAUACUUGAGCCUAUUUUUCUAAUAAAUAAUUGUCUUCUAUUUUACUCCCACCUUGUAGCUGUUUUUCAUGUAGACAUCAACUACAUGGUGCAUUUUUUAGAAUCUGAUUUGAUAUUAGUGUCUAUGGUGUGACAUUUCUUUAAUCUCAACAGUCCUUAUUUCCUCAAGUUUUUCUCAUCUUUUGCAGUAUAUCAUUAGAAUUCAUACUAGAAUUUUUGAACAGCCCUUAUUUCCUCAAGUUUUUCUUAUCUUUUGCAGUAUAUCAUUAGAAUUCAUACUAGAAUUUUUUUUACUUGUUCCAGAUUAAGCUUAGAUAUAAAUAUACGUACUGAACCCAAGCUUAGUAUAGGAUCCUCACAGCUAGUCAUUUCAAGAUACGAUAAUAGUAGGAUUUUUAUAAUUUAUGUCUAAUCAUGAUAAGACUUUCAUAAAUUUCAUAUUAUUCUUCCUUACUUCCUCUACCUCUUCAACUCUUAUAUGUCGAUAAAGUCACUGAUAAUACACUCUAGCAACUGCUUGAUGUACAUAGAUAAAAUUGAGUAUUGAAAUAAUUACAUGUUAUACUUAUACAAGUUUGGAGCCAAGUAAUGAUGUAUCUCGGGCGAUCACAAAAAUCUUUAUGGAAAAAUUGGAUCCCGAAGGAUAUGAUUGGAAGUCAGUUACAC